CCUUCGCCAGUCGUGGUUGAUCCUCUCGCUUCAAUCGUCUCUCUGGAACUCUAGCUCUCUCCAAGAGCUCGAAAAUAUGUGUAUAAUGAAGUAUAUCUCGUCCACAGGGGUCUCAGGGGUAUUUAUAGGCUUCUGGACCAUGUUGGAGAAGGAAAAGGACUUGAAAAUCCGUCUGGGGGUGGGACACGGCGUGCUCCAUAUGGAACACGCCGUGUUCCAUGGACACGGCCGUGUUCCUGGCCGUGUUCGGCCCCUGUAACUUUCUCGGGCAAUUUCAGCGGAGGAACACGCCGUGUUCCAUUUGG
rnacentral:lncRNA from 1 species